rnacentral:rRNA from 1 species
CCUACGGGAGGCAGCAGUGAGGAAUAUUGGUCAAUGGACGAGAGUCUGAACCAGCGAAGUAGCGUGAAGGAAUACUGCCCUAUGGGUUGUAAACUUCUUUUAUAUGGGAAUAAAAUGUUCCACGUGUGGGAUUUUGUAUGUACCAUAUUAAUAAGGAUCGGCGAACUCCGUGCCAGCAGCCGCGGUAAUACGGAGGAUCCGAGCGUUAUCCGGAUUUGUUGGGUGUAAAGGGCGCGUAGGUGGUUUGUUAAGUCAGGUGUGAAAGUUUGGGGCUCAACCGUAAAAUUGCAGUUGAAACUGGCAGUCUUGAGUACAGUAGAGGUAGGCGGAAUUCGUGGUGUAGCAGUGAAAUGCUUAGAUAUCGCGAAGAACUCCGAUUGCGAAGGCAGCUCACUGGACUGCAACUGACACUGAGGCUCGAAGGUGUGGGUAUCAAACAGGAUUAGAUACCCUUGUAGUC